rnacentral:rRNA from 1 species
AGUCUGACGGAGCAACGCCGCGUGAGUGAAGAAGGUUUUCGGAUCGUAAAACUCUGUUGUGAGGGAAGAACAAGUACCAACUAACUAUUGGUACCUUGACGGUACCUCACCAGAAAGCCACGGCUAACUACGUGCCAGCAGCCGCGGUAAUACGUAGGUGGCAAGCGUUGUCCGGAAUUAUUGGGCGUAAAGCGCGCGCAGGCGGUCCUUUAAGUCUGAUGUGAAAGCCCACGGCUCAACCGUGGAGGGUCAUUGGAAACUGGGGGACUUGAGUGCAGAAGAGGAAAGUGGAAUUCCACGUGUAGCGGUGAAAUGCGUAGAGAUGUGGAGGAACACCAGUGGCGAAGGCGACUUUCUGGUCUGUAACUGACGCUGAGGCGCGAAAGCGUGGGGAGCAAACAGGAUUAGAUACCCUGGUAGUCCACGCCGUAAACGAUGAGUGCUAAGUGUUAGGGGGUUUCCGCCCCUUAGUGCUGCAGCUAACGCAUUAAGCACUCCGCCUGGGGAGUACGGCCGCAAGGCUGAAACUCAA